AUUAUGGUUGUGCACUUGUAUACAUUUUUAAAAACAAGAGAUCAUGGCUAAAGAAAGCUUUGGAAUUUUUUGCUAUACUUUGAUGUUUCUGUAUUUGGAAUACUUCUGAAAUGCAAAAUCCCUUAAUAAAAAAAAAUCCUGAGAGCAGAAAACUUAUUUAACAGAAUUUCCUGACUUUGCAUGUUUACAUUUUCUGUGAAACUUCCAAAAGCAAUGUUAAAUCUGCACCCCAUCUUUCCGCCAAUAUCUACACCUGUCAUUGUAGAGCAACCCAAACCCCACAUCCUCCACUGGUCAGGGACUUCUUGUGUCCUUCACUAACCUCCCAUAAGUUCCUUCUCAUGAUAUAGGUUAGAAAUCCCCACCAUGUAUCCCAUCCACUAUGAUAUGGGCUACCAGAGUGGGGCAGAGUUAUAGCAUUAUAUAAUGGAAGAUAUAUUGCAAUGGAUGAGGGGGAGAGUUUGGGUCAGUGUUGGAAACAAAUGUUUCAUUACAAUUUCAUAUUAAAUGCUCAAACUUAAGUCUCUGUUUACAAAGCAUUUUGCUCUUGGAUCUUUUUUAAAAGAAAAAGGUUCUUUAUAUUUUUAACACAGUAGAUUAAGAACACUGGCACCUGUUACUAAUGACCACCAUUAGGACUCCAUAUUUUAUUCAAUAGUUUACAAUAGGUAGCUUCAUAAUAUAGUGAUGCCCAAACAACUUAUUUGUUUUAAAGUGUAAAACAAAAAGAUAAAUAUUAAGGUAGAGAAGAGAAACAUUAUUUUAGUCUGUAUGGUUUGAGUAUUAUAUGAAACAGAAAAUGUGUAUCACUGUAUUAGAGGCAAUUCUGUAAGUUGCGUAAAACCAAAUGGUCAAACCAUGAUGCAUUUUGUGUUUUAUUAAACUAAAACACAGAAUUCUGCCAUAGAAAUCGUGCCCUUUUAAAGUCCAGUGCAUUUUAUUUUAUGUAAUAAGUUUAAAAAAUAUCUUCGCUUCAAAAUUAUUGCUCCUGUUUGCAACUUGUUUGGUGUUCAAUUAAGAUUGUUGCCAUCACAGUUUGUAAUUUAGCAGCAUUCGAGUAGAAAUGACUGAGGUUGUUUUGCCUGGGAAUAUCCAAAUUAUUCCAAUGUGGUGUUCGCUUGCAUGUAGGUUUGAUCUGGAUCUCUGGAAUGGGUAGCCUCGCUAAAGAUUUUUGUUCUCAUCUUUGUUUUCCGGAGACAUGCAACUCCCAAACAGCUUGGCCAAUUUGCUUUAGAUUCAAUUCAGAAAUAGGGCUCUGGAUUUGUGUGAAAGUUAAUGGUGGUUUUCCUCAUGGUCCUAAUUGAAUUAUUUGUUAGUUUUCCAUGGGCUGCUGAAAUUAAUUGUGGCUAAUGAAAUUCUUUUCUCACACCUUCCUGUCAAGUUGACCUGAGGUGAUUGGUGGCAUUUUAAGUGAUAUCCAUAAAUUGAUUAACCCUUAGAAUAAGCACAGUGCCAGAAAUGUAGGCACAUGGAGGAUUUUAACAGUGAAAAUGUAACCACAGGAUUUUAGAUGCCUCCAGGAUUAGGCGGCAGCCAAGCAGGGGUUUUGAGGAUCUCAGUGAUGCCUGAAUAUUGGACGUAGGUAGCAGUUAGGCACCUAAAUCCUUUUGUUGAUCUGGGCUUCAGUCUUUUUACCCCCAACCUCCACAAAACUCUCCCCCAAAAAGUUCUAGAGGUAGAGGCUUAUUGGCUCUUGAAUUUAAUACAGUGUGUUGUAGCUAUUUGUAGUGGAAUCAGUUUAUAUUAUUUUAAGUUUAUAUUAUUUUACAUCUUCAGAAUGGUCAAGUGUUUGACAGACUGAUGCAACAUUUAGCAGCUGUUACAGUCAUUUAAUUUGAGUAUAGCGGUGAUGCAGAUUAUUGGAGGUAUCAGUUGUGUCUAUGCACCAUAUAUCUACAUAUUAAUGUGCUCUUUUUAAACAGAUAAUUGCAAAGGAUUUUAAGCAAAAAAAAAAAAAAAGUAAUCCCUCAUCUUUGACUUCUUUUUGUAUCUUCACUGAAGUUAAUGACACUGCACUUAAACUACAUUCAAGUACCAUCACUUUUCUAAUAAGCAGUUGGGUAUUGAGCCACUUGAUAGUACCUAAUCCUAACUUAAACCCAAGUAAUGUUGCAUUCUGUAACUGACUUGCAUCUUCCCUUUUCAGUCUCUUCUUUAUAAGAAAUCAAUUAUGCUAUUUAAAAAUUGAAAUCCUCCAGCUAUUUCACACUCUUAACUGAAAUGAAAGGCAAGCUCCAUGCAUUACUUUUUAAUAAAAUAUUGGGGAAAUGUCCACUGAUGUUUUACAAAGAUGUGAUAUAUUUAAUCCAAAACUCUAAUAUACUACUACAUCUGUGGAAAUGAAAGCACCUUGAAUGCUUUAAUAACUAAUUGGAAGCCUAAUAGGAUAUAAGACAUUUCUAAGACUAUUAUGAAUAAUAUUUUUGAAGUCAUUGGGUUUUUAUUGAAUAAUAAUUGUAAGUCAUUGGGGUUUUUUUUGUAUUGAUAGUCAUUUGGAUUUAAACUAGAAAUGAAAUGCAAAAUAAAAUACUGAAAUAUUUCUCAUAGGCUCUGAGGGCCUUAUUUAGUAUGCUGAUCAUGUUGCUUCCCCCUUUUCCGCCCCCACCCCACGUUGAAGUACUCCCAGUUGACAGUUCUUACUUUGUAAAUUCCAGCAGUACAUUAGUAUUAAUAAAUUGCAAGGACCUGUUCCCUGCAGUAGUUCCAUCUUAAGGGGGUUGGCUUGUGCAACUUGGAGUAAUGAUAGUGUUUCAAUACCACUCCAAUAGGUAAUUUCUUGGAGUAGUGGCUAAGGGCACCCAAGAGUGUCCUUUUCAAUAACUUUGCACAGUUAAGCUGGUGCCUGUCACUAGGCAGGGCUUCUUGUAGAAAUACAGUAGUAUCACAGCCCAUUACAUGUCUAGUAGCUGUAGAGCUAAGCAUCCAGAUAUACAGACCUGUAUGGGGCAAAGAGAAAUAAUUAGGGAGGAGAAGAAUAUCAUGAGUCUUUAGGGUACAAUGGAUUUUACCUUACAUUAGUGUUUUUGUUCGAAGCCUCAUUUCACAAGCUGUAUGAAGCUUUGGGUUUGGAUGCGAGAGAGAUUUUCCAAUGUACGGUGUGUAAUUUUUGUGUUUAGUUUUCAGAACUUUACACAUUGGGGAGGAUGUGGGGAGACAUGCAAAGAAAUCUUCUAGUAUGGGUCUUGCUAUUAAAAUUAAUCAUCAAAGUACCAUGGGCAUUUAUUGGAUUUGGAACCUAAAGAUGAGAUAAUAGACUUAUUUGAUACAAAAUUCCUUCUCCCUUUGCUUACCCAUACAUAGAGGAACAUGUUCACCAGCAGAACAAAGAGCAGAAAGCCGUCCAAAAUCCUUGGGUGUUGGGACCUUUACAAUGUGAUCUACAAUUAUUUGUAUUUAUUUAUUUCUAUUCAUAACACUACUAAUAAGCACCCAUCAGUUGGAUCCCGUCACAUUAUCACAUUCAUAUUGAAUGCAUUAUAUGCCUUCCACCUCUAAUACUAAUGUCCCAUAAUUAUUAUAAUGAAUAAAAGACUUUUAAUUUAUCCCUCCACCCACAUCAGUGCUAGGAGAAAAAGGUGGUCUUUGCAGUGUGUCUGGAAUGUUAAAUGCAAGAUUUAACCCUGAUAUUAUGGAAAUUUGCAAAAACCAGCUCUGUAAAAUAGGCCGCAACAUUAGGAAAAGCCCAUAUCGUUGCUUUAUUUUAGAAACCAUUUUGCACAAAAUGUACUGUGGCCAAGCAGGGAGAAGUCUGACAUUGUAAAGCAUCAUAAUAUAGUUUUGAUCCACUCAAUUAAAGCAAAUGAACUACUGCUGUUCAGUAAUAAUGUAGGAAAUGUAAAUAGUAUCUCCUGUUGAUUACAUUAAACU